UUCCGCGGAAGCGGCGCCCCGCGCAGCCCGCACCGCGGCUCAGGCGGCGCCGAGGGCGGCCCGGGCGGAAGAGCGGGCGCGGGGCACGCGCUCGGUAACCUGGCAACGCGGAGCAACCCGGCGUCUCCGGCGAACCCCAGCCCUCCACCGCGAAGAAGCACGGACCCCCGCACCAGCCGCCCAGCCCGCGCCGCCCCUCGGUCGCUCCGCCCGCCGCUGCCCGCUGGCUAUGGUCUUUUAAAUCCAUGAUACAACGUCUAUAUGUAACAAAUCUGUUAAACCCUAAAUGUUUAUGAUACUCAAGUAAUCCAUUAUCUGAAUUAUUCUUGAAGAUAAAACAUCCAAGACUUCUUAAUUGUAUAGGUAUACAUACAUAAAAUACACGUGGAGGUUUACAGAGGCUGGGAAGCUGGGGACUGGACUUACAUGCCAGGAGCUUCUAAGAUCACACGCAAAAAUAAGGCUACUGGAAGAGAUUGUUGGAAUCUAUCUCUGUAUAUUUGAACAUGGGCAGUGGUUAACCAGGAUGCUCACACCAAGCUUAUAUCCAGCUUGCAGCACAAGCUACAAGUUGGUGCAUCCCUCCUACUACCAGCCUCUUCUCAAUAAAUGCAGGUGAAAAC